rnacentral:rRNA from 1 species
GAUGAACGCUGGCGGCGUGCCUAAUACAUGCAAGUCGAGCGAACAGACGAGGAGCUUGCUCCUCUGACGUUAGCGGCGGACGGGUGAGUAACACGUGGAUAACCUACCUAUAAGACUGGGAUAACUUCGGGAAACCGGCGCUAAUACCGGAUAAUAUCUUGAACCGCAUGGUUCAAUAGUGAAAGACGGUUUUGCUGUCACUUCUAGCUGGAUCCGCGCCGCAUUAGCUAGUUGGUAAGGUAACGGCUUACCAAGGCAACGAUGCGUAGCCGACCUGAGAGGGUGAUCGGCCACACUGGAACUGAGACACGGUCCAGAGGCCUACGGGAGGGAGCAGUAGGGAAUCGGCCGCAAUGGGCGAAAGCUUGACGGAGCAACGCCGCGUGAGGGAUGAAGGUCGUCGGAUCGUAAAACUCUGUUAUUAGGGAAGAACAAAUGUGUAAGUAACUAUGCACGUCUGGACGGUACCUAAUCAGAAAGCCACGGCUAACUACGUG